rnacentral:lncRNA from 1 species
CUGCAAACACAGCAUACUUAAAAACAGAGUUGCCCUAAUCUUAACUUGUUUUUUGCACUGUUUCCUUCAUGUUCUAAAAUGUACCAGUCGAGCUAUCUUAGCACACCUUUCAACACAGCAGUUGAGUAAUUUCUUU